UCCAGCUAAAAUUAACGAGACUGUCAACUUUGGCGAAGAGGGACAGGAAGAUGACAUUGAGUUUGACGACCUCAGAGGUGACGAUGAGUUUGACGAUAUAUGAGUUGGGUGCUUGCCGGCAGCUUGCCUGUUCGGCGUCGUCUCGUAACAGCAAGGAGGGACGACUUUGGUAUAGACCCAUCGUGGUUAUAUGCUGCGGCGGCGGCAUCUGCAGAAGAGACAUUCUACAUUCUCUCUCGCGCCUCACAUUUUACAAUACAUUCUAUGGCACAUAAUUUUUCUACAGUUUAUUUUCGGAGGAGUCCUUACUAAUUAAAUUUUUUAACACGAGAUCUAAUCGUCGACUGCCGUCGAGAUUAAUUAAAAAUUGUGCGGAGUUGCACGUUGAAUAUUGUA